UGCAGCUGAACUGUUCUGUGUGUAUGCAUAGGAUUUGACAAUUCCAUUUAAAUUAAAUUCAGGUUAAAUACCUUUCUACAAUUGGAAGACCAAACUAUGGAGAGACAGUGCGGCGAAUCAUGAGAAAAAUCACUUCCUCAGAAGUUUGGUCACAGUUUAGCCUCAAAGGAAGGAAGGGGAAGAGGAGACUUGAAGAACUCUCUGUUUAUCGAGUUCUAAUAAGGGCAAUAAUGAAAUCACAACCUGGGUCUACUAGCAUGGAUGCUGAAAGCCAGAUUGCAGAGACCCUUAAACAUGCACCAGGUCUGGUUAGGAGAAAGGCUAAUUUUUACCUGCCUGCUGCACAUCAUUCUCUGUCCCCGGAUUGUCUGCCUGGUUUUGACUUGUGCCUGCCGACUGGUUUCUGCGCUUGCCUUUUCCUCUGGAUGUGUUUAUCUUUAUUGGACUGUUGAUGUCUACCGAGUCCGACCUUCCCGUCUGCGCUCCCCUGUCCGCCGUGUUCUCCAGUCCCGAGUCCGCCUCAUCAGCCGGUGACCUGACUGUCUCAGCUGCUUUUCUUUUGUUCAGCAAACGUUCUCAAAUGCCUUUUUUUAAGCUUUUUUAUUUGUAGUCCAUUAUAUUUGAGCUAAA